rnacentral:rRNA from 1 species
AUUGAACGCUGGCGGCGUGCUUAACACAUGCAAGUCGAUCGGUAACGCGGGGGCAACCCUGGCGACGAGAGGCGGACGGGUGAGGAACGCUUGGGAAUCUGCCUAUCAGCGGGGGACAACACGGGGAAACUCGUGCUAAUACCGCAUACGCUCUACGGAGGAAAGCCGGGGACCGCAAGGCCUGGCACUGAUAGAUGAGCCCAAGCCGGAUUAGCUAGUUGGUGGGGUAACGGCCCACCAAGGCGACGAUCCGUAGCUGGUCUGAGAGGACGAUCAGCCACACUGGGACUGAGGCACGGCCCAGACUCCUACGGGAGGCAGCAGUGGGGAAUAUUGGGCAAUGGGGGAAACCCUGAUCCAGCGACGCCGCGUGGGUGAAGAAGGCCUGCGGGUUGUAAGGCCCUUUCGGUAGGGACGAAAGCUCUCGACCUAACACGUCGGGAGGUUGACUUAACCUACAAAAGAAGCACCGGCUAACUCUGUGCCAGCCGCCGCGGUAAGAC